GCUGGUGUCAUGAUUAUAAGAAAAAAAAUUCCUUCUGAGUGCUCUAGCCAUGGGCAUGACAGACUCCUUUCAGCUGCUGAAUAGCAUAUGAGCAUCA